UGGGGAAUAUUGGACAAUGGGCGCAAGCCUGAUCCAGCCAUGCCGCGUGUGUGAAGAAGGCCUUUUGGUUGUAAAGCACUUUAAGCGAGGAGGAGGCUACUUGGAUUAAUACUCUAAGAUAGUGGACGUUACUCGCAGAAUAAGCACCGGCUAACUCUGUGCCAGCAGCCGAGGUAAUACAGAGGGUGCGAGCGUUAAUCGGAUUUACUGGGCGUAAAGCGUGCGUAGGCGGCUUCUUAAGUCGGAUGUGAAAUCCCUGAGCUUAACUUAGGAAUUGCAUUCGAUACUGGGAAGCUAGAGUAUGGGAGAGGAUGGUAGAAUUCCAGGUGUAGCGGUGAAAUGCGUAGAGAUCUGGAGGAAUACCGAUGGCGAAGGCAGCCAUCUGGCCUAAUACUGACGCUGAGGUACGAAAGCAUGGGGAGCAAACAGG
rnacentral:rRNA from 1 species